CAUAUGACUUAUUUGUUUCAAUUCAUCCACGUUUAUAAAGAUCAGAAUCGAGAUAAUUAUAUCUGGUUUAUUGUUGGAACAAUCCAUCUGAAUAACUGAAAGAUAAGUUUCUAAUUUGUUUAUUUUUAUGGUUAAUACUCAUUUCACUCCACCCUCAGGGGAAUACACUUUCGGCUAAACAGUCCUGGUUGAUUAUGUUUCUCUUCACGUCUCUUUUUUUUCGCUCCACAGCAAAUUACCAAUUCUAUGAAUUGCAGAAUAGCAUUCAGCGCAGGUCUCCCCGCUGCAGGGGAAGUCUCUUAUAAACACAAGCACGUUCUUUAAUGUUAAUUUAGGGCAUUUUAAUGUUAGAUCGUACUUUGCAAGGCACCAUAACUCUAGACCCACAUACACGUUUUAUAUCGCCCUUAAUUCCCAUUAGUCCCGCAAAUCUCACCGUGGAUGCAUCUAUCCCUCUUAUUUAGUGCGUUUCUUUGCUUUGCAAGUUUUCUUCACACAGUGGACUCUCAUUACGAAACUGAGCGCUUGGGAAAGAUGCCAUCAAAGCCCCACUGCCAGCUGUUGGAGGCUGCCAGGUACAUUCAGGGAUAGAUCCUCCUUGCCGUUUUAUCCCAAUUGAGGCCAGACUGCUGGAUUCCAGGAACUGAGGGCCCUUCACAUCUGGACAAGGAGGUACAGUGACUGGGCCAGCACAAUCUGGCCCAUUGAAAAUGAACUAAUUCUACAGGACACAGUAGUAACAGUGGGCUGAAGCUGCAUCUCAGGAGGACAUGGAAAGGUCAUGUUUCAGGCCCCCUUUAUUCAUGGCUGACCAUGGGUGUCUCCAGGGUUGGACGCCAGGGCGUGACUUUGUUUAACGUGGGGAGACUGCUGCACAGACAGCCAACAUGCAGUCCUUGACAGAUCUGGGUCAGGAUCCAGUGGCAUGGAGUCCAAGACGACCGGCGACCCUUUUCGGCUGCAGCCUUCAUCCACCAACCCAGCCGUCGUGAUGCUCCACUAAGGUUAGCCAUCAUCCUCCGCCUGUUCCACCGUUGAGGUAGUUUGGAUUGCUCUUUAUCAGAGUCCUCCCCUUCGACCUUUACCAUCAUGGGUGGCCCUACCAGGAGUAUAGCUCCAGACGGCAUCGCUCUCAGGAUCUCAGGACCACACGAGCUUCUCCACCACGACAAGAAAAAUACGACCCCAUUGCUGGCCAGCCUAUUGACAAUCAACACCUUGCACAGGGAGGCACUGAAUGAUUGCUAUCAACUCUUGUCAUUAUAGCCCACCCAUUAUAAUGUGAAUUAGAAUUAUUUUAGUGACUUCAAACUGAUUAAAUGAGUGGCACGGUUUCACAGCGGUAGAGUUGUUGCCUUACGCCGCCAGGGACGCGGGUUUGAUCCUGACUCCUGUUGCUAACUGUAUGGAGUUUGUACGUUCUCCCCAUGACUGAGUGGGUUUUCUCCGGGUGCACCAGUUUCUUCCCACAUUCCAAAGACGUACAGGUUUGUGGUUAAUUGGCUUCUGUAAAAAUUAUAAAUUGUCCCUAGGGUGUAGGAUAGUGUUACUGUGUACAGGAAUCACUGGUCGGCGCCGACACGGUGGGCCGAAGGGCCUGUUUAUACGACAAAUCUCUGAAACUAAAACUAAAACCUGCUUACCUGAAUACCUGACUUUUAUCUUGAAUUACCUCUGCCACUUUUUUGGACUAAUUCUGCUUUAAUACACCACUUGUUUGACACGAUUAACAGAAAGAUGAAAACAUGCAAGCCAGAAAGAUAUGGCUAUUUAGAAUUCAUAAAGAAGGACAAGAAGAUAGAAUGGAAAAUUCCUGGGUGAAUAUUUUGUGAAGACUCUGACACUGUUAAACAUUAAACUGGCUGCAAAGUGACAGCAGCCACUUUGAAAAUAUACUUGCUCUGCAACUUCUCAUGAAUGAUGUGAUGUAAAUUUAUGCAUUGAUUAUUGUAAUUAAGUGUAACAUUUCAUCCUUGUAUGACUAUGGUGUAUUGUACUGUGACAACAGCAAACAAUAAACUGAUAGUUGAUAAAG